GCUAAAAUUAGUCCUAAGUUUUGUACGAAACCUAGAUAUUAUGAGCUCUGUAUUUGGGGGGGGCAGGUGAGUACAGUGCACAGAUCCACGUCUUGUUUUGUAUAUAGUUGCUUGCAUGUUGUCUUUCUCUUUAGAACGAGCUCCUUGAGAGCAGGAACAGGUUUUUUUUGCCUUUCUUUGUAUCCCCAGUGCUCAGGACAGCGCUUGGCACUUAGGAUAUGCUUAAUAAAUGCUUAUUGACUGAAUGUCCACCUGGGGGCUCAUGAAAGGAAGGAUAGCCUAGUGGAUGUAACACUGACUUCAGAAUCAAGACAGGCCUGAGUUCAAGUUCAGCCUUUGACACAAACUAGGUGUGUGCACCUGGGCCAGUCACUUAAUUACCUUAGUAUUUUUAAGACUGGAAGUUGCAUAACUGAGGCCGAGCUGCAUUGGUAGACUGCCUUACUAAAAUUUCCCUCUAAUGAAAUCAGGUCUGGAACAGCCCCCCCCAACUCUAGAAAAAUGUACUACAUAUUAUAUUAAAUUCAACAAGUAUUUAUUAAGCAACUAUUUACUAUGUGCCUUGCCCUAUCUUAGGUGCUCAGAGUACAAAGGCAAAAUAUAUAAAUUGAUACAAAUAUAGAUUGUGUAUAUCUCCACUUAAGGCCUCCUGUUGUGGAGGUGACCCUAGGCUUCCAAAGGGAAGGUUAUACUAGCAGAACCUAGGUUCUGUUAGCUCUCACCAACCUUUGACACAGAUGCUGGUGACUUGACUGUCCUCAGAUGAUCCAGCUAAGUUCAGAAAUAAUGGACCGCAGGAUGACGGAUUUUUUUUUUCUCCACAGCAACUCUGGAUAACUGUUUACCAUUAGUAGAAGAGUCAUUUUCUUCAGCAACUUGAAGUGAGAGUGGCCUCUUCUACCUUCUCUCUCAAGGCUGGAAGCCAGAAAUGCCAGAAGUGACUCAAUGCUCAAAAAAGACCGGAAACUUGAGGGGUUCUGAAGAGAAAUUGAAGCUUGGAGAGUCCCAAAGGAGAAUGAGGAAGGCUGAAACUCUCCGGAUCAGGCCAGUUCUGCACCUGUCACCCAGACCAGAGACAAGUUCCAAGCAGUCUUUAACUUGGCCUGUUCAAAGCAUAUGAUGCUCUGGGAGAAUGAGACAGAGAUAAAAAGAAAUCUCUUUCAUUUUAAUUCCCUAUCUCUAAAAAUUAAAGAAGAAAUCAUGGGGAUGAUAAAAGGAAAUGCACCCUCCUAAGAGACACUCUUAGACCAAAGGAUAUGAGAAAGAGGACAAGCAGACUCUGCAGUGAACCCAUGGCUGUAAGAAAAUUGAGUUGCAUUGUUCUCUGUGUGAUAGCAAAGAACUAGAAACAAAGUGGGUGCCCAUCAGUUGGGAAAUGACUGAACAGGCUGUUCAUCUGGUAUAUAAAACCAGAAGAACGAAGUGCACCAUGACUAUAAUAAUAUAAAUGAAAAGAUUGCUAAAAGGAAGUCAGACUCUGGGUAAUUUUAAUAACUAAUCUUGGUCUGGGAGAACAAAUAAUGAAGUACACCUCACUGUCGGUUGGUCAGAAAAGUGAUGGACUAUGGAGGAUGAUCGUUAUUCACACACAUUAUCAUAUGAGGCUACUGUAUCAGUUAUUUUUGCUUUGCUAUUGUUUUGCUUUUGUUUCUGUUUCUAGAAUAGGUUUGAUUCUGGGGCUAGGAAUAUGAGUACAGGUAUCAGAUCCAGAAAUGAUCGUGAUGUUUCAAAAAAAAAAAGAGGCAUUAAUAGAACAUUUAAAAAAAUAAAUAAGUAAAUAAAUAGAGAGAAAAAAUAAAUAAGUUGUAUUUCCUGAAGCAUUCUCUUGGAAUAUUAAGGUGCUAAGUGACUGCAAGAUUUUGAAUUAAUGCUUUUCUUCUGAUUUUACCAUUAGAGAAGACAUAAUG